CUGUAGGCUAUGUGAUGCAGGCAUUCUC
rnacentral:piRNA from 2 species